rnacentral:pre_miRNA from 1 species
AGCUUUUUGAAUCCGUGCUGAGAUUUUAUCAGACAUCAACACAUUAGUACUGAUCAAACUUCCAAGAUAAGUAAAGCU